UAUUGCCCAGGCGCUUGCAGGACUA
rnacentral:piRNA from 1 species